rnacentral:rRNA from 1 species
UACAGAGGGGGCAAGCGUUAUUCGGAAUUAUUGGGCGUAAAGGGCGCGUAGGCGGCUUUGCAAGUGACGGGUGAAAUCCCACGGCUUAACCGUGGAACUGCCUGUCAGACUGCAUGGCUUGAGACCAGGAGAGGUGAGUGGAAUUCCCAGUGUAGCGGUGAAAUGCGUAGAUAUUGGGAGGAACACCAGUGGCGAAGGCGGCUCACUGGACUGGUACUGACGCUGAAGCGCGAAAGCGUGGGGAGCAAACAGG